rnacentral:rRNA from 1 species
GACGAACGCUGGCGGCGUGCUUAACACAUGCAAGUCGAACGGAAAGGCCCUGCUUUUGUGGGGUGCUCGAGUGGCGAACGGGUGAGUAACACGUGAGUAACCUGCCCUUGACUUUGGGAUAACUUCAGGAAACUGGGGCUAAUACCGGAUAGGAGCUCCUGCUGCAUGGUGGGGGUUGGAAAGUUUCGGCGGUUGGGGAUGGACUCGCGGCUUAUCAGCUUGUUGGUGGGGUAGUGGCUUACCAAGGCUUUGACGGGUAGCCGGCCUGAGAGGGUGACCGGCCACAUUGGGACUGAGAUACGGCCCAGACUCCUACGGGAGGCAGCAGUGGGGAAUAUUGCACAAUGGGCGGAAGCCUGAUGCAGCAACGCCGCGUGCGGGAUGACGGCCUUCGGGUUGUAAACCGCUUUCGCCUGUGACGAAGCGUGAGUGACGGUAAUGGGUAAAGAAGCACCGGCUAACUACGUGCCAGCAGCCGCGGUGAUACGUAGGGUGCGAGCGUUGUCCGGAUUUAUUGGGCGUAAAGGGCUCGUAGGUGGUUGAUCGCGUCGGAAGUGUAAUCUUGGGGCUUAACCCUGAGCGUGCUUUCGAUACGGGUUGACUUGAGGAAGGUAGGGGAGAAUGGAAUUCCUGGUGGAGCGGUGGAAUGCGCAGAUAUCAGGAGGAACACCAGUGGCGAAGGCGGUUCUCUGGGCCUUUCCUGACGCUGAGGAGCGAAAGCGUGGGGAGCGAACAGGCUUAGAUACCCUGGUAGUCCACGCUGUAAACGGUGGGUACUAGGUGUGGGGUCCAUUCCACGGGUUCCGUGCCGUAGCUAACGCUUUAAGUACCCCGCCUGGGGAGUACGGCCGCAAGGCUAAAACUCAAAGGAAUUGACGGGGCCCCGCACAAGCGGCGGAGCAUGCGGAUUAAUUCGAUGCAACGCGUAGAACCUUACCUGGGUUUGACAUGGAUCGGGAGCGCUCAGAGAUGGGUGUGCCUCUUUUGGGGUCGGUUCACAGGUGGUGCAUGGCUGUCGUCAGCUCGUGUCGUGAGAUGUUGGGUUAAGUCCCGCAACGAGCGCAACCCUUGUUCACUGUUGCCAGCACGUUAUGGUGGGGACUCAGUGGAGACCGCCGGGGUCAACUCGGAGGAAGGUGGGGAUGACGUCAAGUCAUCAUGCCCCUUAUGUCCAGGGCUUCACGCAUGCUACAAUGGCUGGUACAGAGAGUGGCGAGCCUGUGAGGGUGAGCGAAUCUCGGAAAGCCGGUCUCAGUUCGGAUUGGGGUCUGCAACUCGACCUCAUGAAGUCGGAGUCGCUAGUAAAUCGCAGAUCAGCAACGCUACGGUGAAUACGUUCCCGGG